rnacentral:tRNA from 1 species
AUUUAGUUAGUUUAUAAUAAAAUUUUAAUUUGUGGUAUUAAAGAUAUAGUAAUUAUACUAAAUU